rnacentral:rRNA from 1 species
GGCGAGUGAAGCGGGAAGAGCUCAAAUUUGUAAUCUGGCGUCUUUCAGGCGUCCGAGUUGUAAUCUAUAGAAGUGUUUUCCGUGCUGGACCAUGUCCAAGUCCCUUGGAACAGGGUAUCAAAGAGGGUGACAAUCCCGUACUUGAUAUGGCUACCAGUGCUCUGUGAUACACUUUCUACGAGUCGAGUUGUUUGGGAAUGCAGCUCAAAAUGGGUGGUAAAUUCCAUCUAAAGCUAAAUAUUGGCGAGAGACCGAUAGCGAACAAGUACCGUGAGGGAAAGAUGAAAAGCACUUUGGAAAGAGAGUUAAACAGUACGUGAAAUUGUUGAAAGGGAAACGAUUGAAGUCAGUCGUGUUCAUUGGACUCAGCCGGUUUUCGGUGUAUUUCCUUUGAACGGGUCAACAUCAGUUUUGUCCGGUGGAUAAAGGCAGGAAGAAAGUGGCUUGCUUGCAAGUGUUAUAGCUUUCUGUCACAUACACUGGGGGAGACUGAGGACUGCAGCUCGCCUUUUGGCCGGGGUUCGCCCACGUUCGAGCUUAGGAUGUUGACAUAAUGGCUUUAAACGAC